rnacentral:rRNA from 1 species
GGUGGCAAUGGCAGAGAGGCCACACCCGUUCCCAUCUCGAACACGGAAGUUAAGAUCUCUAGCGCCGAUGGUACUGCAGGGGCAGCCCUGUGGGAGAGUAGGACGCCGCCGGAU